rnacentral:rRNA from 1 species
CCUUGUACACACCGCCCGUCACGCCACGAAAGUGGGUUAUACCAGAAGCCGGUACGCUAACCGCAAGGGGCAGCCGUUCAAGGUACUGACUCAUGAUUGGGCG